UUGAAGCAAGCUUGAGAGGAUUUGGCCACCUCUGCUUAGCUCCACCCUUCCAAGCAGAACUGGGGCUGGCUGCCCGGGAAUUCUAUCACCCAGGGCUCCUGGGGCCGGGCUGGGGAAAACUCACGUACGUUGUUGUGGAAAUCCGCCCUGAUGAAAAAGCACUGAUCUUUGUAAAACUGGAUCAUAAACCUCUAUUCAUAUCCUACAUGCAAGUUUUUUAAACCAGUGGAUCAGACAAAACUCAGUAUCUCCAUUAAACUCUCAGUCUCAGAAAAACCUAGCCUUACCCAUCUCGCCCUUGUCUUUCAUCAUUGAAUAGCAUCAUCCCAAACAACUCUCUGUGAGACCAAAGAAAAGGGGAAUGGAUUCGAGCAGCAGGAAAGCUGGAUCAGUACCCCAAUGAAAGUCUUCCACAAGAUCACCAGUGAACUGUUAACACCGGGCAUCCUGUCGUCACCACUUCUUUGCUAAAGCAAUUGCACGUAAUGGUUGUCAUCUCUUUUCCGCAUCAGGGAGUUGAGACACAGAAGUUCAGCGACUUACCAGCGUCCUUACCACUAGAGAUUUAAAUUCAAACCCGGCUCUUCAGACUUCAGACUCAGUGUUCUCCCAGCAAAGCCCUGUCUGCUCUGUUGUGGCCUGAUACCAAAAUAUUUUGUCAGAAUUUUAAGGACAUAAAGG